UCUUUAUUAUUCAGUUUAAAAAGAUUUAGACUGAUUUUAUCCAAUCUACAACAUAUAACUUUUAAUUUAACUUUUUAAAAGAUAAUAUGUCCUCUUGGAAAUGUUUAAACUUACUAAGAAGGUUUAAUAAUGGAAAUAUUUUAAAGAUGUAAUUCUAGUCUUGCUCUUCUCAUUAAUUUUGUGUUUUUUUUAAUAUGGAAAAAGAGUGUAGGACAAUAAACUGUAAUCAAUGAAACAGAGUAAGGAAGAAACAAUAUUGUCAUAAAAUGUGCUUAAUAAAGCUAGUAGCUUUUCUGUAUAUCCUCUUUAGAUUAAUCUUGAUUUACUCUUAAAGCUUUGCCUCUUUUUUACUUUGAAGACUGGAGAAUUAAGAAAUCUUGUAUCAGUGAACUCAUCUCCUCUUCUCAAUUUGCUGUAAAACAAAAAGGAUAAAAUCAUCAGUGGAUCUGAGGAAGGGCUACACAUACCGGAAUCUGGAAUUGAUGUUCUAGUGUAGGAAUCUUCACAAGUAAUGUCCACUUCCCCGGUAAGAGCAUGCUCAUUUGUUUCAUGGUAUGUUAUUGGCAAGGUUUCAGGGCUCUUCAGUAUUGGGAUGUUUUGGGGAAUUUUAUGGAACCCUAUAGGUGUUUCAGUAAUGCUAGAAAUAACUUUUUCUUUGUUUUUAUCUUCAUCACUUGAACGAACAACAUAGGUCUUUCUGCUUAGCUUUGUUGUAGAUUCUUCCCUUUUAUUGAAAGUGUUAACACAAAACUCAGUCUCCUUUAGGGAGCACAAAGGUGUAAAAUUCUGAAUAUUAGAAAUUCUUUGCAUAUUUUCAACUCUCUUAUGGGUAAUAUCAUUAAAUAGAACGUUUUCAUGUACUUCUUGUUUCUCUGAAGUUUUUUUCUGCUUAAGAGAGUCUGGAUAUAUAAUAUAUGUUUUCCGGCUAGCUUUUGCAAAAAUUCGCCUUGUAUCUCCCUGUGAAAAUUCUUCCUUGAUUUGUUUUGUGUUUGGAACACCUGAAGCAUUAGUAGAUCUCGCUGCUGUUCCACAACUGCAAUUAACUUCUCUGUUGUUAUACUCCAUUUUUAUAUUUGUCUUUGGGUCUUGUUUUGUCUGGCAAUCAGGUCUGCAUUCCUUUGAUCCAAGUCUUCUCAGAUUCCUUCUGGCAUGCUUCUCAUUUUCUAUUCCACAGUCAUUUUGUUUGUUCAUUUUGGAAGCAUUACGAUAGGUAACCUUUUUCACUAUCUGUUUGGUGGUCACAUUUAUAUCUAAUAAAUCCUGCUUUGAAGCCAUUACAUCAGAGGUGUGGCUUUCUGCAGAUGACAAGUUUUCAAUACAAACACUUUCUAAUGGCUUCUUACUGCUGUCUUGUUCUGGGGACUGGUUGUUUGAACUGUCUGCUGUUUCAGAAAUAAUAUCUUUCCUUUCCCCCUUUUGUAAAACAUUAGUGGUUUGCUGACUCUUUAGGUCUACAUGUUUUACUGCGUGCAUCUGUCUGCUAUUCUUGUUGUUAUUAAUGGAAUUUUCUCCAACAUCAUUGGUGCUGUUCACUUCAAUUGCCUGAGUAGCUCUUCUUUGAAACAACUUUUUCCCUUGCUUUUGAAAUUUUUGAGAUGUAGUAGUGUGGAUGUUUUUAAUCUUUCCACUACUUGGAACAUUUUCAUUAUGUAUUUUAGGCUUAUUGUGAUCUUUUUCUUUAAUAUGUUUUUCUGUAUUGGGAUAUCUAACCUUUCUCAAAUUUGCUGAAACUUUAUCAGCUUUGACUAGAUCAGCACUUCCAUCUUUUCUUUUUGAUGUAAUUGUGAGUAUCUCACCUAGUUCACUAGCAGUCAACUCCAUUUCAGUAUCAUACACCGUUUCUUCUGGCUUUUGAUCAUUCAUAAAAUGUGUUUUAUCUGUGUGAGCAGGCCCAUUACAAGGUUGCUGAGAUGACUCUGUGUGUGAAACACUGUUUGGGCCUGUCUGAUGUCCUAUCUCAUUAUUAGUGUGGGUUUUGGCGUUGUUAUAAUGUAACAUGCUGUUUUGAUUUCCUUUUUUAUCAAAGUCAUUUACAAUAGGUUGAACAUUUGAUGUAUAAGACAUUGCUUGUUUCUUCCUUUCAGUCACAUAGCCAUGGCUUGGCAAUGGACUACUGUUAUGCGCUCUUGGAUGCCUUUCAAGUAUAGAAGAUGCAUUAUCCACAUCCAGCAUAAAGAUACUACUGGAAAUCUGCUCUAUGCAUGACUGAUUUUCUGAAAACAAAACAAAAUCAGGAAAAUUACCAUUCAUUUUUAAAAAUAUAUUGUUAGGGAGUAUUGAAGACUGCUUUCACUGGAUCAUAACUGGAUCAUAAAGUUCCAGUUAGUGGACCUUAACAGAAAUACUGACAUUGCUAUGAUAUGUCUUAUAUAUCUUGUUAUUUCUUUCAGUGUUAGAUAUUUCAGUGUUCUAUAUUUUCAGUCUUGAUAUUUCUUUCAGUGUUCCUGUCAUAUAACUGUCCUCAAAGUGGUAUCCAAAUUUUGCCCGCUGCCAUAAACACAUAGGCUCGCAUACUGACUUACAUCAUGUGUGUGUAAGAACAUUUUGCCCUUGCAAAAAGAAGGGGUGUUUUUCACUGAACCCCAUUUCUCUCUGCAACCUUCAAGUAUAUAUUUUAAUGGAGCGUGGGGAGGGGAGCAGGAGGAAGGGGGGUGGGGUUGGUGAAAAUUGCCCCUUUCCCCUUGUGUGGGUUAAAACAUUCUGAGAUGCACAUUACAUUAGCCAGUAUGUGAGCAUAAUCUGCAAUAUAUGUUAACAUUGUUAAGUGUAAGGUACUGAAAGAACUGUACUAAAAGACACUGUCCCAAGAGAAAGGCAGAAGAGGUGCCCAGGCCAGACAGCUCUUGCCAUCAGCCCCUACAGAGAACAGUACUGAAAGGUCUGUGCAUCCAGAGGGUAAGGCAAGAAAGGAAGCAGUCAGAUCAAGGAGCUCUUGUCCCCAGCUCCUAAAAGGGUUAUCAAUGGCUUGAGACAACACUACUUUUUCAACCUUCCUGCAGGGGUAAUUGGAAACAGGUUUUGCUUUUCUAUACAUUUAUUACAGUCAUACUUAUGUGCUGAGAACAGAUGUAACAGGUUUUGGCAAUCUUUUGCAUCACUGAUUCAAAUGACCAAUUUUGAAUUUGCUAGUGUAGUUUCCCUCAAAAGUUACUGUAUACUAUUAAGUUGCAACAGAUCAAGUUUCUAUCUAAUCAACUACAGUGCUUUAAAUGUGUGAAAGCACCUAAGUUGUUUAAUUGUUUAGUAUAUAGUUGAAAAUAUAACUGAAGAAUAAAUUUGGUGUAAUUGAAUUAUUUAUGUCUGUACAGAAUGGUAGUGUGUGCAACAUUUUUCUUUUCUUAUUCUAUAGGGACUCCUGCAUUUUACAUCUGGCUGCUAAAAAAUUAAUCUCAGAAAAAUAAAUACCAUAAAUACAGCAUACCUUUUGAAAAUGUAUUUGUGACCAAUACUGUUUCUAUUUUAUUUGUGUCACUUGAUUUUGGCAUAUUUUCCUCAGAUACUAAAACUUCAAUAUUGAUUUGAUCUGCUUCAAUUUCCUUUGAUAAUACAGGCAUCUGUUUUAAAAGAGUAUCUCUUUUACAUACAAAGGUGUUAUUCUGUUGUUUUCUAUCU